GGAAUCUGAGUAGAUGGCCAACUUCUUGAUUGAUAGCUCCUUUGCCAAGCGCAAGCCAGCAAGCAAUGCCUCGUACUCUGCCUCAUUGUUUGAAGCCAGGAAGACAACUGUGAUAGCUUGCUCUAAUAGGGUUCCGUCUGGGGUGAUGAUGACGACGCCUGCUCCAGCUCCUUUUUGGUUCGACGCUCUAGCUACGUGUAAUUGCCACAUGUCUCUGGGUUAGUUAGGUUCUUCAGAGGUCUUGUCUGCUCUCG
rnacentral:lncRNA from 1 species